rnacentral:piRNA from 1 species
UGCCACAUUAACCCUUGCUGUCUGGAUUAGU